ensembl:lncRNA
CACAGCCACUGCAAAAACUAACCAUGCUCCUCUGAAGGAAUCUGGCAACACAAAAGCAGAGCUCCUGCACAUCAGGAACUCUCCUUUUCAUUUUAUGAAUAGAUAAAAAAGCUGUUUGUGAGCAGUUUCGCAAUGUUGCAGGUCCCUUAUUUUAACUCCACGCCUUCCUGAUUUAUGCUCUCAGGACAUUUUUUUUUUCCUGUUGGUCUGUCAGUUGUUCACUGACUUUAUCUUACCUGAAAUCCCCACUAUCAGUGGAAACAGGAGUAUGCAGAGCACUUCCUAGUGUGUGGGGCAGCGAGAAGUUAGGUAAAGAACAGGAGGGUAUAAAAAGGCAUAAUAAAGAGAUAAGAGAGAGCCUUCGGGGAAACUCACAACGCCUCUGCUUGAAUACUUUGAAACCUUCCUCCUGCUUCCAAGUUCCCGCAGUAGUGACUAUCAUGAAAGAAAGAAGAAAAGUUCCCAGCAAACUCAGCUUGUCACCAGUAGCCACUUGGACUGGAGAAAGGGUUGUUCUGUGGGCUGCCAGCUGAGCACCACAGUCCAGUUAAUUGCACACUGAAGAAGAAAGCACAGCUCGUGCAUUAUAUGCUUCGUAUUUGAGGCUGUUCAUACAUUCAGGGAAGUAAAGGAAAUUGGAGCUGAGCUUCUUCAGAUCAUAACAUGAAUUGUAUUUCAGUGAAUAAUCUUUCUGUGUGACUAAUAUGCAUUCAUUUCACUGUUCUUUGGAAUUGAAGGCAGGGCACUGAGAUGUUAUUGUACUGCUAAGUGCAGUAAGAGCUGAAGAGCCAGUAGCUAAAUACCCCGAGGAAAGCAAACACAAAGCUAAUUACAUGUAGCAACUGCUCUACCACAAGGAUUUACUGGAGCAAACAGUUAAAACCAGAAGCAGAGCGUAUAACUGCAAGCAGCUUGAUCAGCUUGAAAAUGCACCUAGUUCUGUAACAUCUACCUGAAAGAGCAAUUCUGUCUCAUGGAAGGUGCCUCAUCAACUUAAUUGGGAUCACAGAGGGAAGUUAGAAACAGUUUGUUUGUGGGAGUAACACUGUGUCUGUGAAAAGACCAAAGCAAUGGGCAAAUAUUCUCUCAGAUGUUUUUAUUUUUUUUUUUAUUUUUUUUUUUUUUUUCCUGCAUGGUAUUUUACCAUCAUCAAUUUUUAUUUAUUUUAUUUUUUCCCCAAGGUUUACCAAUGAUUUGAAUGAAAUUAAUCCAAACCAAGACUUGAUAUUCAAGGCUGCCCCUCAGCAAAGAGGGGUUUUGCAUUCAUUAAUACUGCCUUGGGAUGAAGGAAGGAACGGGAGAGCCCUGAUUGACCUUGGACAUUUAUAAAGGUAAUCUAAUUUGUGCUUGUUUGCUACUUUUUCAUUAAAGCCACUCCUGGAAUGUUUCUUAUCAUGAGUUGCACUUCCCUUGAGAAAAGUUUUAACAAAUAGACCAAACCUGGCAGAGAGCUGGCCUAGCAACUGCUUUCAAGUGCAGAAGUGAUGUGGAAAUGCAGUUCUGAAGACAUCUGUGAUGUGGCCUGCAAAACUAGGAAGUGCUGUAAAAGACACAGCCGUAGUUUAUGGCUCAUUGAAGGUGAAGUCAGAAUCAGGAAAAGUCCAUGGUCAAACAACUUAACCUGUAGCCAGUGAAUGGCUCACCUUGCAUUCACGUGAAACUGACUACUGAAUUAACCUGGUCCAUUCACACAGGUGAGCUGCCCAUUUUGCAGCUGGCAACUACUAACAAUCACUGUCAGCUCAUGUACACACAGAGGAAACGGCAGUAAAUCUGCUCCUUAGUCCUGAAGAUUUCUCGCAACUAUAUGGUUUGAGACAUAAUUCCAGAUAGGCCCUGUCCAAGGAAAAACAACCAAGAAACAGCCAAUGUCAAUGACAAAAAGAAAUGUAGUUCUCAGAAACCUUUCCAGUACUGGGCAGGAACUUUGUUUCCCUGACUUCAAUUAUAUUUGUUAUACCACAGAUUAACUGUAUCCAUUUAGGGAAGAGAUGGUCUUGAAUCAUUGUUUCAUCUUAGGAACCACAGGUGAUGUUGUACAUAGUCUGUUUACACCCUCGGGGUUAGUGAAAAUGAAACCAAACUAAGAAAACGCAGACCAUUGACCAGAACGAGACCUGCCAACAUUUCCUUCUUUAAUCUCUUAACCAAACAAUAUGACACAUGGCAGCGCAACAGUGAGGAUGAGGUUUCACAGCCUGCUGAGAAUGCCAUUUUUUUGGUCAAAAAUAAAAAAGAAAGAAUAUUAUGCUUGUCUGAUUUG